CUUGGGUUAAUAUGCUUAAUUUUUAAAAUAUCCAAUAGCGCAUCCUUCACUUUCUCGCGGGCCUCCGUCCCGAGCUCUGAUAUCCCGCAGUCAUAAUGCUCGUUCUUGCGUUUCCCGAGCAGUUGGGACACUUCGGCGUGUACGUUUCGGGCUUUCCGCAGAGGUAGCAGAAUACCCUGCGUUCCUUUGACAUACACUCUCGGAACCCGUGGUCAACUUCUAUGCAAUUCCAGCACCCCAGCCUCGGCUUCGCUGUCAGGUGUGUUUCCUCAACCAUCACCUCUUCCUCUCCUUUCGACAGCUCCGACUCUGGCUCGAUCUCCUCCACUCGCUUACCGGAUUGUUGGAACUUCAGCGUCGGGCGAAAAGCUGACCUUCGCUCGCGUCUGCGGAAAUGGUACUCACCUCCACACACUCUUCCAUAAGCUGCUCCGGGUUCCGGACUCGGAUCGCGUACACAUAACGAGCGAUCUCUUGCUCGAGCCCCUUCUUGACGACUCUGACCAUUUCGGAAUCCGCUAUUGGUGUGAUAAGUCUUGCUGCCAGCCUCCGUAUCGCUCGAAAGUAGUCUUCCACCGAUUCUCCAGGUUCUUGCCGUCGCUCAUGCAACGCACGCAGUCGCUCGUAUUCCCCACCUACUGCAUGGAAUCGGUACACCAACUCGUCCCUUAAGUCCUCCCAGACUUCUGGAGGCCUCUAUCCUCUAACCAGCUGGUGAAAAUUAUGCAGGACUUCGUCCCACGAGCGUCGACUCUGCUUCUGGAGGAAUUCGACCCGAAAGACGAAAUCCUCCACCGUCAGUUUGGCUGGGUCGCCGUCGAAAUGGAUGUCCCACUUGUCGACGCGUCCCCAUCUCGGCUCCCUCCACUCGUCUCGCCUCUCGUAGGGCGUCGUGAAUCGCCGAGCUCCGCCGUCUCCUGCUGGUUCCCUUUCCAGUCCUCUCGGACUCGUCUCCAGGUCGCCAUCUUCCACCAUGCGGGACCAAUUUUGGCUGCUUCUCUCCGGCUUCCUUGGAGGGGCUUGGGGAAUCUGAUCCUGUUGUUCCACGGACCCUUUUGGCCUGGUGCCGGUAUUCUGGAGCCGUCGAACCGCCUUCUCGGCCAUUUGGACCAUCCUCCCAGCCCAGAUCUUGGAUCACUUCUCCCUUCUG
rnacentral:lncRNA from 1 species